ACAGAAACAGGAUGUAGUCAGUCUAUAGUUUACUGGAGAGAAUUCAGCUGCUUUCAGCACUCAUGUGAGACUCCUGCAGAUGGAAAGCUACCACCCACCACGAUGCGUCAGCCAGAGCCUGAGAGAAAGAGGACAGAGCCCACCCUUGCCCCGGAAGUGGAGCUCCAACAUGAGUCUGACCAGGGGUGUGAGCCCACGACAUCAGUGGACAAGGGAGAAGUAACUAUGGAUGAUAAGGACUGGCUGAUAAACUUCAACGAGGAAGUAUCAACUCCCACCCUAUCCCACCCAGUACUUUCAUCAUUGCUGUUUUCAGACAGUACCAAUGACAUUAUGGACCAUGAUCUCCUCUUCUCAUUAACCUGUGUGAACUGUACUAUUCUUACCGUUUUUCAGUCAGGUUGUGUGGCAGGGCCUCCAGCCCUGCAGCUGCUGGAUGUCCAUAGCCCUGCGCCAUCUCCAGGGAGUCCCUGUGACGUCAGACCGCAGGUCGUGCAUCCACCUGCAGCUCCUUUGCUAGAGGAUCAUGUGGCUCCCCUUCCCACCUUUGAUCUCUUCGCUCCAUCUUGGCCUGUCGAUCUGUCGGCUUCGCCUUGGUUUCUCCCACCUUUGGCUCCACCGGAGACCCUCAGACCUGCGGCUCCACCAGGUUCCCUUGUCUUGCCGGCUCCACCUUGGUCAGUCAUCACACCACUUCUGCCACGUCCCUCUACCCCUACGGCUGCAGCAGGUUCCUCCUUCCCCUUGGCGUCACCUCUGUCCUCCAUCACACCUGCUCCACCUCAACCCUCCGCCAUGGGCUGUUGGCACUAGCAAGCUCUGGGUCUGUGCCAGUGGACAUUCUCCACCAUUGCUGCCAGGGGAUUGUCAUCAUCCUCCAAUCACCAUCCCUUUGCCUCAUCCUGCCAUCAUCCCCACACUUCUGCCUCUCACCAUCCCUUUGUCAUCUCUUCGUCCACCUCCAAAACUCCCUCCAUCCCUCCCUCUGUUUCUUCUGUUACGGCGUGAGGCCGCGCCUUGCCAGAGGGGGGAGUAAUGUCACCAUUAUGUUCAGUGUGUUUGUGUCUUUGGGACUUUUAGUAUGUUUUCAUUAGUUUCCUGUUUCCUUUGUUCAGUUUUUCCUCUUCUCAUUUCGUCCUCUUGGAACUAUAAGGUUCUAUCUGAUAUUUUUGUCAAAAUUGAGUAAUUCACAUAUUCUUAUUCUGUGACAACUUAUUUACAUUAUGUGAUGUUUUUGGUAAUUUUGAGCACAUUUAGAGACUUUUUAUUUAGAAAACAAAAAGGUUAUAUCUACAAAGUCCAAUGGUAUGCUCAAUUUCUCAGAACUGCUCAGAAUGCAGAUAGAACCUUAUAAUUCCAAGGGGAUGAUGUCUACAUUUGGUUCAGCUGUGUUUGAUUAAUCAUCUUGUUUGAAUUGUUCUAUAAGUUGUUCCUUCGGAUAUACAGUGCAUAAAAACGGGAAACUGGGCAGAAAAUAAAGCUCCAGUAUCAAAAUAUACAAAAGUAAAUAACAAAAUUCCA